CCUACGGGAGGCAGCAGUGAGGAAUAUUGGACAAUGGGCGCAAGCCUGAUCCAGCCAUGCCGCGUGCAGGAAGACGGUCCUAUGGAUUGUAAACUGCUUUUAUACAGGAAGAAACACCUCUACGUGUAGAGACUUGACGGUACUGUAUGAAUAAGCAUCGGCUAACUCCGUGCCAGCAGCCGCGGUAAUACGGAGGAUGCGAGCGUUAUCCGGAAUCAUUGGGUUUAAAGGGUCCGUAGGCGGUUUAAUAAGUCAGUGGUGAAAGCCCAUCGCUCAACGAUGGAACGGCCAUUGAUACUGUUAAACUUGAAUUAUUAGGAAGUAACUAGAAUAUGUAGUGUAGCGGUGAAAUGCUUAGAGAUUACAUGGAAUACCAAUUGCGAAGGCAGGUUACUACUAAUAUAUUGACGCUGAUGGACGAAAGCGUGGGGAGCGAACAGGAUUAGAUACCCUGGUAGUCCACGCCGUAAACGAUGGAUACUAGCUGUUCGGAGCAAUCUGAGUGGNGAGAGAAGAGAGUAAGUAAGUACCACCGUCGGGUAGGUACGGUUCGUUCGAAGAAAGUUAAGUAAACGUUAAAAGUUAAGUUAAGUUAGUUACGGCGUUGAGGACGNGCCGACGGACGACGACGAGGGAGGAGGAG
rnacentral:rRNA from 1 species